rnacentral:tRNA from 1 species
AAGUUUGAAGCGAAUCGCAAUUAGUUUCGACCUAAUCUUUGGUGAAAUAUUCACCCAAACUUU